rnacentral:rRNA from 1 species
CGAUCUGGCUCAGGAUGAACGCUAGCGGCAGGCUUAACACAUGCAAGGUCGAGGGGCAGCGCGAGUAGCAAUACUUGGCGGCGACCGGCGCAAGGGUGCGUAACGCGUGAGCAACAUGCCCGUAUCAGGGGGAUAAUCCAGGGAAACUUGGUCUAAUACCCCAUAGUAAUUUUGUAAGGCAUCUUAUAAGAUUUAAAGCUUUGGUGGAUACGGAUUGGCUCGCGUGACAUUAGCUGGAUGGUAAGGUAACGGCUUACCAUGGCUAUGAUGUCUAGGGGUUCUGAGAGGAAGGUCCCCCACACUGGAACUGAGACACGGUCCAGACUCCUACGGGAGGCAGCAGUGAGGAAUAUUGGACAAUGGAUGGAAAUCUGAUCCAGCCAUGCCGCGUGAAAAGGAAGAAGGUCCUAUGGAUUGUAAACUUCUUUUGUAUUGGGAGCAAUAAGGCCUACGAGUAGGUUGAUGAGAGUACCAUACGAAUAAGCACCGGCUAACUCCGUGCCAGCAGCCGC